UUUUAAUAUAAUUGCAAUUAUACCUUCCUCAAAGUCAAAAUAUUCUAUAUGAAAGUGUAGCUUCACGGUCUAAUUGCCCAAGCUAAAAUUUCGUUCAUUUUAAUGAAUUGAUGGACUAUGUAUUCACAUUAGGAUGUUUCAAGUUAUUCCUGCCUUUUGACUAGAUUUUUAUUUCUAAAAACAUCAGAUUAGUCAUCAGAUUAAACCCAUGUUGAACUAGUAAAAGGUAAGCUUGCUUUACAUUUUUUGCUCUUUUUAUAUGAACUCCUUCAAUUACAAUCAUAAUCAUUCAAAAUUUGUAACUUUUGUACUAGGGCAUACUCAGUUUUAUCUAAUAUAUUAUGUGGUUCUAUAAUUCAUAUACACGAGGACAAAAAGGUUUGUACAAUUUUAUUAGCCCACUACACAUGAUCAUGAACAGAAUCUUGCUGGGGAUGGUCUUACAGCUGCUGUCCCUUUCCCGAGAUCUCAUUUAUUCAGCAGGGACAUAGUUGUGUUUGAUGUCCUUCCAAAGUUUCUGAUAAAAAGAACGAUAAUGAUAGUGUAAUGGUAUAUUAGCAGAAAAGCUGUAGUUCUUCCCCUUUUAUGCUCACCCCUUUGUUGAUUUCGCUGUACAAGUGCUCGGUGGCCAUGUCGAAACCUCGCUCGAAAAAGAAGGCGCCGGUCACAAUGGCCAAAGCGUACGUGGAAGAACGACGCAAAACGUUGUUGUACAGUUUAGCGACCAAAGACAUCGUGAAUUAUUAUUGAAUAUUGAAAAAUAAUGGAUUCAACAGCCCAGUGAACUGAUUAGAUCUAGUCGUGAAUUGGGACGAACAAGAAUGCACUGUGCAGACGAUGCACGUUCGGAAAAACAAUCGCGAAACGAAAGGCGAUAUUCAAAAUGGCGUCAUGCAUCAGCCUCUGAAGCGCUUCGUUUAAACAGGGGUAUAGUGUAUAGAGGGAUCCCUGUCCCUAUAUUCCCCUGGUUUAAAUAUGUGACUCAUCUAUUAUCGCAAAAUUAGAUUUUUUAUUACAAUAUCAUCAUAUUCUACCUCUCGCUUUGAAUGAAAAAUCGACUUUAGUAGACACACAUGUUUACUCGAUAAACAUAGAUGUACAAAUUUUUUCAAGUAUCAUUUGAAAUAACAGUGAAGCGAUGGAGCGAUGGAAGAAAUCCUAGAUUGCAAUUUAAACAAAGUAAAAUAUGUUAAAAAAGUCAAUUGAUAAAUUGCAGAGUGAAUUUUUGGUUCAACUUGUUAUAUGAUGCAUAUGAUUAUAUGAUACAUAGGCAUUAUGUUUUUCGUAACCUAGAUCUUAAAUUUAUCAAAUUUGAUGUUCUCAACAUGUUGAAUGAAGUCAUCAAACUUUGGGAAAUCAUUGUUAAAAGAAAUUCCCUUGUUGACACCAUUAUUUGUUUCUGGUAUGUGUUUGUAAGGAUAUUCAGGCUCCGAUGGUGGUGCCUCGCUGUAUGCCGGAGAAGGGUAGGCCAGUGGUGAGUGCACUUGUGGCUUGUAAACCGGUGAUUCUGUGUAAGCAGGAGUUUCAACACCUGUUGGAGUGUAGGCUGGAGAACUAUAAGCAGCUGAACCGGCUCCGCCUUCACAACCAGAAGUCGAACAAGCCAAUCCAUCUCCAACGUCUUAUUCUAGUUUUUGGCUUUUGUUCAGCGGAAUACAGUGGCAUCCUUUGCUGAUCGGUCUUCACAUUUGGCAAAAAUUAACCGCAAAAGGAUGGCAAGGAUACGUUGCCAAACCAGACACAUCCGCCUUAAUGACGAUUCGCCACAAUACACUGUAUGAUUGGGAACAGAGACAGCACAUUUUUCAGCAGAUAUAUAUGAUAUAUCUGCUAUGACAAGCAAUUCAAUAAUCGUGGUUCCAAAAACCUGAAAGGAACUCUUGAACGACGGCUACGAGAUCCCUAGCUUCUUAUUCUGAUUUAUCAAGCGAUUGUAUCACUUCACCGUAAACUGAAAGGUUAUCGGUUAAAUUUUGUCAUGUAAACCUUAAGAAAGCAUUCCUCGUAUUCAUAAUUAAAUUCAUGAUUCAUCGUUGGAAUAAAAGAGAAAUCGAAUACAGAAAUAAAUGAAACCGAGCACAGG